GUCUCUGUAGCGCAAUAGAUAGUGUUUUGGAUUUCAAAUCCAAAGGUCGUGGGUUCGAAUCUCACCUGGGAUG